UACAGAGGGGGCAAGCGUUAUUCGGAAUUAUUGGGCGUAAAGGGCGCGUAGGCGGCCUGGCAAGUGGAAGGUGAAAUCCCUCGGCUUAACCGAGGAACUGCCUCCCAAACUGCUUGGCUUGAGACCGGGAGAGGUGAGUGGAAUUCCCAGUGUAGCGGUGAAAUGCGUAGAUAUUGGGAGGAACACCAGUGGCGAAGGCGGCUCACUGGACCGGUACUGACGCUGAGGCGCGAAAGCGUGGGGAGCAAACAGG
rnacentral:rRNA from 1 species